CCUACGGGUGGCUGCAGUGGGGAAUUUUGGACAAUGGGGGCAACCCUGAUCCAGCCAUUCCGCGUGAGUGAAGAAGGCCUUCGGGUUGUAAAGCUCUUUUGUCCGGAGCGAAACGGGCGGCCCUAAUACGGUCGUCUACUGACGGUACCGGAAGAAUAAGCACCGGCUAACUACGUGCCAGCAGCCGCGGUAAUACGUAGGGUGCGAGCGGUAAUCGGGAUUACUGAGGCGGAUUUGUACGCCAGCGGUGAAAUCCCCGGGCUCAACCUGGGAAUGGCAUUUGGGACUGCAAGGCUGGAGUGUGGCAGAGGGGACUAGAAUUCCUGGUGUAGCAGUGAAAUGCGUAGAUAUCAGGAGGAAUACCGAUGGCGAAGGCAGGUCCCUGGGUUAACACUGACGCUCAUGCACGAAAGCGUGGGGAGCAAACAGGAUUAGAUACCCCGGUAGUC
rnacentral:rRNA from 1 species